rnacentral:pre_miRNA from 1 species
UUUGGACUGAGCUCUCCAAAACAUUUUUGGAUUGAAUAGUAUUGGAGAUUCGUUCCAAACU